GCCGCGUUAAUACGUAGGGUGCAAGCGUUAAUCGGAAUUACUGGGCGUAAAGCGUGCGCAGGCGGUCCGCUAAGACAGAUGUGAAAUCCCCGGGCUUAACCUGGGAACUGCAUUUGUGACUGGCGGGCUAGAGUAUGGCAGAGGGGGGUAGAAUUCCACGUGUAGCAGUGAAAUGCGUAGAGAUGUGGAGGAAUACCGAUGGCGAAGGCAGCCCCCUGGGCCAAUACUGACGCUCAUGCACGAAAGCGUGGGGAGCAAACAGGAUUAGAAACCCCAGUAGUCC
rnacentral:rRNA from 1 species